UACGUAGGGUGCAAGCGUUGUCCGGAAUUAUUGGGCGUAAAGAGCUCGUAGGCGGUUUGUCGCGUCUGCUGUGAAAAUCCAGGGCUUAACCCUGGACCUGCGGUCGAUACGGGCAGGCUCGAGUUCGGUAGGGGAGACUGGAAUUCCGUGGUGUAGCGGUGAAAUGCGCAGAUAUCAGGAGGAACACCGGUGGCGAAGGCGGGUCUCUGGGCCGAUACUGACGCUGAGGAGCGAAAGCGUGGGGAGCGAACAGG
rnacentral:rRNA from 1 species